CCUACGGGAGGCUGCAGUGAGGAAUAUUGGUCAAUGGCCGGAAGGCUGAACCAGCCAUGCCGCGUGAAGGUCAGUGCCCUAUGGGUUGUAAACUUCUUUUAUAAAGGAAUAAAACGAGGCACGUGUGCCUUUUUGCAUGUACUUUAUGAAUAAGGAUCGGCUAACUCCGUGCCAGCAGCCGCGGUAAUACGGAGGAUCCGAGCGUUAUCCGGAUUUAUUGGGUUUAAAGGGAGCGUAUAUGGGUUGUUAAGUCAGUUGUGAAAGUUUGCGGCUCAACCGUAAAAUUGCAAUUGAUACUGGCAGUCUUGAGUACAGUUGAGGUAGGCGGAAUUCGUGGUGUAGCGGUGAAAUGCUUAGAUAUCACGAAGAACCCCGAUUGCGAAGGCAGCUUACUAAACUGUGACUGACAUUGAUGCUCGAAAGUGUGGGUAUCAAACAGGAUUAGAUACCCCAGUAGUC
rnacentral:rRNA from 1 species